rnacentral:rRNA from 1 species
GUAGCGGNGAAAUGCGUAGAUAUAUGGAGGAACACCAGUGGCGAAAGCGGCUCUCUGGUCUGUCACUGACGCUGAGGCUCGAAAGCGUGGGUAGCGAACAGGAUUAGAUACCCUGGUAGUCCACGCCGUAAACGAUGAGUGCUAGGUGUUAGGCCCUUUCCGGGGCUUAGUGCCGGAGCUAACGCAAUAAGCACUCCGCCUGGGGAGUACGACCGCAAGGUUGAAACUCAAAGGAAUUGACGGGGGCCCGCACAAGCGGUGGAGCAUGUGGUUUAAUUCGAAGCAACGCGAAGAACCUUACCAGGUCUUGACAUCCCGAUGCUAUUCUUAGAGAUAGGAAGUUACUUCGGUACAUCGGAGACAGGUGGUGCGUGGUUGUCGUCAGCUCGUGUCGUGAGAUGUUGGGUUAAGUCCNGCAACGAGCGCAACCCUUAUUGUUAGUUGCCAUCAUUAAGUUGGGCACUCUAGCGAGACUGCCGGUAAUAAACCGGAGGAAGGUGGGGAUGACGUCAAAUCAUCAUGCCCCUUAUGACCUGGGCUACACACGUGCUACAAUGGUCGGUACAACGAGUUGCGAGCCGGUGACGGCAAGCUAAUCUCUGAAAGCCGAUCUCAGUUCGGAUUGGAGGCUGCAACUCGCCUCCAUGAAGUCGGAAUCGCUAGUAAUCGCGGAUCAGCACGCCGCGGUGAAUACGUUCCCGGGCCUUGUNC